rnacentral:rRNA from 1 species
CCUACGGGAGACAGCAGUGGGGGAUAUUGCACAAUGGGGGAAACCCUGAUGCAGCGACGCCGCGUGGGUGAAGAAGCGCCUCGGCGCGUAAAGCCCUUUCAGCAGGGAAGAAAAUGACGGUACCUGAAGAAGAAGCCCCGGCUAACUACGUGCCAGCAGCCGCGGCUAUGCGGCGGGGGCAAGCGUUAUCCGGAUGUACUGGGUGUAAAGGGGGCGCAGACGGCGCUGCAAGCCAGGAGUGAAAGGCCGGGGCCCAACCCCGGGACUGCUCUUGAAACUGCGUGGCUAGAGUGCAGGAGGGGCAGGCGGAAUGCCUGGUGUAGCGGUGAAAUGCGUAGAGAUCAGGAGGAACACCGAUGGCGAAGGCGGCCUGCUGGACUGCAACUGACGUUGAGGCACGAAAGCGUGGGGAGCAAACAGGAUUAGAUACCCCAGUAGUC